GUACUCGCUUCGGCGGUACAUAUAGUAAAAUUGGAGCGAUACAGAGUAGAGAAGCAUGGCCCCUGCACGAGGAUGAUACGCGAAACCGUGAAGCGUUCCACUUUUUU